UAGAUGGCGACCGGCGCACGGGUGAGUAACACGUAUCCAACCUGCCGAUAACUCGGGGAUAGCCUUUCGAAAGAAAGAUUAAUACCCGAUGGUAUAAUCAGACCGCAUGGUUUGAUUAUUAAAGAAUUUCGGUUAUCGAUGGGGAUGCGUUCCAUUAGGCAGUUGGUGAGGUAACGGCUCACCAAACCUUCGAUGGAUAGGGGUUCUGAGAGGAAGGUCCCCCACAUUGGAACUGAGACACGGUCCAA
rnacentral:rRNA from 1 species